rnacentral:ribozyme from 1 species
UGUCCAGUAACUCCUAUCCCUACCUCCCCGUGGUGUCACCUGGGAUACGAGUAACCUUAGGGACGAUCGAGUAACCUACCCUGGUGGGACCUUGGUCGUAUGCUGACAGGGAAGG